rnacentral:lncRNA from 1 species
UCAUAAAUACCACCAAAUAUUUAAGAAUUGAAAACAAUUUCUACAAAAUUUAUGGAAUGACGUCGAAAUUACAAAAGAAACCAGUAAUGCUAUAAGAAAAUAGAUAAUACGUUAUUUGAUAUGAGAUUUGCAGGAUAUUAUCUAUAUCGCUCAUUCAAUGGAUAUUAAUUAAUAUUCAUUAUACCAUUCCUUUGACGAAACGUAAUUCAUGAAUCAAUUUAAAAUAUUUGUCCAUUCAUCUUUAUCUUUCUUUCCACUAUAAAAACAAGUAGAGUGAGGAUCAUAUCUUCAUUUUAUAUCAACAAUGGCGAAAUUGAUCUCCACCACUCAAAUUCUUUGUUUUGUUUUACUAAUCUCCGCUCUUUCAUUUCACUAAAGUAAGUUCCUAUCGUUGUUUCAAAUCUAAUUUAUUUUUAAUUAUCUGAGCAUCUUAAUAUUGCUAAUAUACAUUUUUUCAAGUUUCAUAUUUUGCUAAGUAAAUCAAGAGAGCAUUGAUAACUUAUCUAUUUUUAUGUGUGAAAAUUAGUCGUUUUUCUUAUAAUAUCUUCACAUAACAAUUCUUAGCAUUAAAUUUAUAGGCGUGCCCAUCGGAGAUCAUUCACCGGAUAUAAAGCUUAAUGGUCAUAUAUACUGCAAGAUAGCAGAACACGGACCACAUGGAGAACCAUUGUAUUGUUGCACCAGAAAGGAUUGUACCUUGGCUUGUUGGCAAGAUUUUAACGAUUGCACUAAAUUCUUUUGGGAAACUUGUACUCCAUAUCCAGACACUUAUAAAAUGUAACAAUUGAUAAGGAUAGCGAUUCUUAUCAGUGAGGAUCACAUAGUUUAUCGUUUUUAAUGUAUUGAUGCAGAAUGUUAUUGAAAUUAUAUUUGAGAGAUUUUCAAUGAUAACCUUGUGGUUUUUGAUUUUUCAUAUAAUGUCUCAUUUCGUAUUUUCGACUUGUAAAUGGUACCCUUAUAUUUUAAAAUGCAUACAUAAAAGCGGUUCGACUCUUGCUCACUCAUAGAGUAUUAGAACAUAUACUUACUUGUAAAAGUAAGAAUAUCAAGUAAUUAUGUAUGUAAUAGUACUCAUCUCUCCGACGACAAUCUGUCAGAGUAAGCAGUCAUGAGUGUAUGUGGCUGUG